rnacentral:rRNA from 1 species
UACGUAGGAGGCAAGCGUUGUCCGGAAUUACUGGGCGUAAAUCGCGUGUAGGUGGUGGGACAAGUCUGCUGUGAAAGCGCCUGGCUUAACCGGGCGAGGUCGGCGGAAACUGUCCGACUCGAGGACGGUAGAGGGGGGUGGAAUUCCCGGUGUAGUGGUGAAAUGCGUAGAGAUCGGGAGGAACACCUGUGGCGAAGGCGGCCCCCUGGGCCGGCCCUGACACUGAGACGCGAAGGCGUGGGGAGCGAACGGG